ensembl:snRNA U6 U6 spliceosomal RNA
AUGUGCUUGCUUUGGCACAGCUUUACUAAAAUUGGAAUGAUACAGAGAUGACCAUGGCUCCUGCACAAAGAUGAGACACAAAUUCAUGAAGUGUUCCAUACUUAU